rnacentral:rRNA from 1 species
UACAGAGGGUGCGAGCGUUAAUCGGAAUUACUGGGCGUAAAGCGCAAGUGGGCGGGUUGGUAUGUCGGGUGUGAAAUCCCCGGGCUCAACCUGGGAACUGCAUCCGAAACUGCCUUGCUAGAGUAUGGGAGAGGGAAGUGGAAUUUCCGGUGUAGCAGUGAAAUGCGUAGAUAUCGGAAGGAACACCAGUGGCGAAGGCGCCUUCCUGGGCCAAUACUGACGCUCAGGUGCGAAAGCGUGGGGAGCAAACAGG